rnacentral:piRNA from 1 species
UUCUCGACCAUGGCCCACUUA